UGAUUAUCACUGCUGUCCCGCCGUGGGC
rnacentral:sRNA from 1 species